AACGAACGCUGGCGGCAUGCCUAACACAUGCAAGUCGAACGAGAUCUUCGGGUCUAGUGGCGCACAGGUGCGUAACGCGUGGGAAUCUGCCCUUUGGUUCGGAAUAACAGUUGGAAACGACUGCUAAUACCGGAUGAUGACGAAAGUCCAAAGAUUUAUCGCCAGAGGAUGAGCCCGCGUAGGAUUAGCUAGUUGGUGUGGUAAAGGCGCACCAAGGCGACGAUCCUUAGCUGGUCUGAGAGGAUGAUCAGCCACACUGGGACUGAGACACGGCCCAGGCUCCUACGGGAGGCAGCAGUGGGGAAUAUUGGACAAUGGGCGAAAGCCUGAUCCAGCAAUGCCGCGUGAGUGAUGAAGGCCUUAGGGUUGUAAAGCUCUUUUACCCGGGAUGAUAAUGACAGUACCGGGAGAAUAAGCUCCGGCUAACUCCGUGCCAGCCGCCGCAGUAA
rnacentral:rRNA from 1 species